rnacentral:rRNA from 1 species
UAAUACGAAGGGGGCUAGCGUUGCUCGGAAUGACUGGGCGUAAAGGGCGCGUAGGCGGCUCACAGAGUCGGACGUGAAAUUCCUGGGCUUAACCUGGGGGCUGCGUUCGAUACCUGUGGACUAGAGUGGGGAAGAGGGUCGUGGAAUUCCCAGUGUAGAGGUGAAAUUCGUAGAUAUUGGGAAGAACACCGGUGGCGUAGGCGGCGACCUGGUCCUUUACUGACGCUGAGGCGCGAAAGCGUGGGGAGCAAACAGGAUUAGAUACCCUGGUAGUCCACGCCGUAAACGAUGUGCGCUGGAUGUUGGGCGGCAUAGCCGCUCAGUGUCGUAGCUAACGCGGUAAGCGCACCGCCUGGGGAGUACGGCCGCAAGGUUG